AUUGGAUGCUAGAAAUACAAAGUAGGAAUGGAAUUGACCUUUUUCUGAUUCAUGGUCUACUUGAAAAAAGAUAGGUACACAUAAAUUCAAUAUAAUGUAUUCUAUUAGUCUUCUAGGGCUGCCAUAAACAAAAUACCUGGGUGGCUUAAACAACAGAAAUUAAUUUUCUCCUGGUUUUGGAAGCUGGAAGUCCAAGAUCAAGGUGUUGGUAGUUUUGAUUUCUCCUGAGGCUUCUCUCCUUGGCUUUCAAUGGCCAUUUUCUCACUGUGUCUUACAUUGUUUUUCUUCUAUGCAUGUGUAUCGCUGGUGUCUCUUCUCUUCCUCUCUCAAAGUUCAUGUGAAGUGACACUGUUCUCUGGGGUAAGUAGCCGGGGUUCGUUGUCUUGUGCAAAGAAGAUUUAGGACUCAGAUACACACGAGGAGGAGUUUAGGAGCAGAGGUUUAAUAGGCAAAAGAAAGACAAAGGAAAAUAACUCUCUUUCUAGCGUGAGAGAGGGGCUUCUGAGAGGAAAAGACUGGCCGGUGGUGGAGUGCACCGGAUUUCAUAGGCAGGCUUGAGG
rnacentral:lncRNA from 10 species